AACCUGUGGCGCGCUCCGCGGUUCCGGCGCCUGAAGUUUUAGCUGCGGUGGCGGCGGCAGUCGGGACCGACUGCAAGAUGUCAUUUGUCAGAGUGAACCGCUGUGGUCCCCGAGUUGGUGUAAGAAAGACACCGAAAGUAAAGAAGAAGAAAACUUCAGUGAAACAAGAAUGGGAUAAUACCGUGACUGAUCUAACCGUUCAUCGGGCAACUCCCGAAGAUCUGGUACGCCGUCAUGAAAUACACAAAUCGAAGAAUAGAGCAUUAGUACACUGGGAACUCCAAGAAAAAGCUUUGAAGAGAAAAUGGAGGAAGCAGAAACCAGAAACUUUAAAUCUUGAGAAAAGAAGAUUGUCUAUCAUGAAGGAGAUUCUUUCUGAUCAAUACCAGAUGCAAGAUGUGUUGGAGAAAUCUGAUCAUCUAAUAGCUGCAGCAAAAGAGCUGUUUCCUCGUAGGCGCACAGGGUUUCCAAAUGUAACAGUGGCUCCUGAUUCCUCUCAGGGUCCCAUUGUGGUAAAUCAAGACCCUAUCACCCAAUCUAUCUUUAAUGAGUCUGUCAUAGAACCUCAGGCUCUUAAUGAUGUAGAUGGUGAAGAAGAAGGAACUGUUAAUAGCCAGUCAGGAGAAAGUGAGAAUGAGAAUGAGUUGGAUAACUCUCUAAACUCUCAGUCUAACACGAAUACAGACAGGUUUCUCCAACAACUAACAGAAGAGAAUUUUGAGUUAAUUAGUAAGUUGUGGACUGACAUUCAGCAGAAAAUAGCAACCCAGUCACAAAUAACUCCUCCAGGAACGCCAUCAUCUGCUCUUUCAUCAGGGGAGCAAAGAGCUGCUCUGAAUGCUACCAAUGCUGUCAAGAGACUCCAAACCAGGCUUCAGCCUGAAGAAUCUACUGAGACUCUAGACUCAAGCUACGUUGUGGGACACGUGCUGAACUCAAGGAAGCAAAAACAGCUGUUAAAUAAAGUGAAAAGGAAACCGAAUUUGCAUGCUCUUUCCAAGCCGAAGAAAAACAUAUCAUCAGGUAGCACAACCUCUGCAGACUUACCAAAUAGGACUAAUUCCAACCUGGAUGUCCUCAAACACAUGAUACAUGAAGUGGAACAUGAAAUGGAAGAAUAUGAGCGGUGGACAGGUCGCGAGGUCAAGGGUCUGCAGAGCAGUCAGGGUCUUACAGGCUUCACUUUGUCGCUGGUGAGCUCCCUCUGUCGCCUGGUUCGGUACCUUAAAGAGAGUGAGAUCCAGCUACGUAAAGAAGUAGAGACAAGGCAACAACUGGAACAAGUAUUAGGUGAUCAUCGAGAGCUCAUUGAUGCUCUGACAGCUGAAAUUCUUCGUCUUAGAGAAGAAAACGCUGCUACACAGGCAAGACUUCAGCAGUACAUGGUCACAACAGAUGAGCAACUGAUAUCACUCACACAUGCUAUUAAGAACUGUCCUGUGAUAAAUAACAGACAAGAAAUUCAGGCAUCAGAAAGCGGAGCCACAGGUAGAAGAGUUAUGGACAGUCCAGAGCGUCCAGUUGUAAAUGCCAAUGUCUCAGUGCCAUUGAUGUUCAGAGAGGAAGUGGCUGAAUUCCCACAGGAAGAGUUGCCCGUUAAACUGUCUCAGGUGCCAGACCCUCCAGAUAACAUGAAUCUGGCCAAGAAUUUUCCAGCACAUAUUUUUGAGCCAGCUGUGUUGUUAACACCACCCAGGCAGAAGAGCAACUUAAAAUUCUCUCCUCUUCAGGACGUAUUGAGAAGGACUGUUCAAACUCGUCCUGCUCCACGACUUCCUCCAACUGUGGAAAUAAUUGAGAAGGAACAAAAUUGGGAAGAGAAGACCUUACCUAUUGAUACAGACAUUCAGAAUUCAAGUGAAGAGAAUCGUCUCUUCACUCAGAGAUGGAGAGUCUCUCACAUGGGAGAAGAUUUGGAGAACAAAACUCAGGCUCCUUUUGUUAACCUCUCACAGCCCCUCUGCAAUUCCCAUUCCAACACUCAACAGUCAAGAAGCCCCACAUUCUCAGAAGAGCUCCCAGUACUGGGAGAUGGGCAGCAGCUGAGAACAAAUGAGUCAUUAAUACAAAGAAAGGACAUAAUGACACGAAUUGCUGAUUUGACAUUGCAGAAUUCAGCUAUCAAGGCACAUAUGAAUAAUAUUAUUGAGCCCAGAGGAGAGCAAGGGGAUGGACUCCGGGAGUUGAACAAACAAGAAAGUGCAAGUGACAUGACUUCUAAGGAGCAAAGAGGACAAUUGAGGUAUCUAUUCCAGGAGCAGAAGCCCCAGAAAGCUCAAAAUGUAGUACUGUCUCUCCCGUCAGCGGGAUAAAUACAAGAAGAUCUUCCGGGGCUACUGGUAAUUCUUGUUCUCCACUAAAUGCCACCUCAGGAAGUGGGAGAUUCACACCUCUUAAUCCAAGAGCAAAGAUUGAGAAACAGAAUGAAGAAGGCUGGUUUGCUCUUUCUACCCAUGUAUCAUAAGUGAAGUCAAGUCUCACUGAGUUUGUUCUUAAUAAUUUAUUACUUCCCUUUCCCUGCUCUGACUUUUAAGUUUUUAUAUCCUUCUUUCAGAUAAAACCUACAAAGAUCCUGUGAAUUAGUACUAAUGAAACAGAGAAAUAAAGCAAUUAUUUUUUGACUUUCUCAAAUAAGUUUUCAACAACCAACUGACCUACAGCUCCCUGUGAAUGAAACUUUGACUGUAGAGAAGUUAAAGUUUUGUAUUUUAAUACUUUCUUAAGUAUUUUAAGGGUUUUUUUUAUUAAUACAUUUUUACCUUUAUCUUUAUUCAGGGUUUUUUGAGGUUUAGUAUAUCUUAGUUGAUCCAUUUAUUUAUUUAUUUUCCUGAAGAACUAAUUUGCUUUGCAUGUAACUUACAAUAAAAUUCCUCUGUGUGAUUAGAGUCUGGCUUUCAGGAAUAUGUAACACCCACUUUUCUUUCUUUUUUCUUGGGAAGUCAUUGCUGUUCAUCACUUUUUCCAUCAAGUGAAAUAUACAGCCUUAAAAACAAUAGGCCUGGGAGUGUUUGUUUAUAUUUGCUUAAGCAGGGGAUAAUAAACUCGUCGGGCUUUUCUGUUUGGCUUUGAACCAGUGUCAUGAGGCGGAGAAGGCCCGACCAAAGGGCGGAUAGGUACCGGGUUCCCGGAGAGCUGGACGCCGGCCGCGCAUGCGCCCCACGGCCCGCCCUGGUUCCGCCUCCCUGGAAGAGGGGUGGCGUUGUCUCGGUAACCGGAGUAAACGGAGGCCUCCGGCAGACGCUGUGAAGAGAGGAGCCGCGGCGGUCAGUACCUUCGAGGAAAUGAAGGAACCAGAUGAUCAGGAUACUGAUGGGGAGAAAUCAGUUACAUCAAAGAGUGAUGGGAAGAAGUCUCUGAGGUCUUCUAAAUCAGAAUCAAGAUCUCCUGUUCAAGAAGAUAACACAUUUUUAGAAGAUGACACAGAUGAAACAUUUACCAAAGGGGAAGGAUCAUAUUUAGAAGAAGACUCAGAUGAGGAACGUUUGGAAGGAAGUUUGAGUUCAUUUCAGUAUGGUGAUUUGCAAAGCACUACAGUACCUCAGCAAACCCCUGCUCCAGCUGUGGAAGAAGCAGAGGAGGAAGUUAAGAAGAAAAUAUCAGAGAGCUUCUUCUAUGAUUAUAUGGAGCUUGCUUCGAUGCCUUUUGUGACUCUGGAUUCAAACAUACCACUGGAUCUUCUCACACUUGUACAUUCUUUUGGUUAUGACUGUAGAAAGCGAGCCAACCUACAACUUCUGGACGACAGUAUCGCCAUAUACAUAGCUGGGAACCAACUGAUCUUUCUGAAUUUGAAAACCAAGGAACAGAUCUACCUGCGAAGUAGCAGUGGUGAAGGAAUUGGCGUCAUUGGGGUUCAUCCACAUAAAACUUAUUUCACAGUAGCUGAAAAAGGGAGUUUUCCAGAUAUUAUCAUCUAUGAAUAUCCUUCUCUGAGACCAUACAGAGUCCUUCGAGAUGGGACUGAGAAGGGAUAUGCUUAUGUGGACUUUAACUACAGCGGUAACUUGCUGGCCUCUGUUGGUAGUAACCCUGACUACACACUGACUAUCUGGAACUGGAAAGAAGAACAACCCAUACUAAGGACAAAAGCUUUUUCUCAGGAAGUUUUUAAGGUUACUUUCAAUCCUGAUAAGGAAGAGCAGCUUACUACAUCGGGAUCAGGCCACAUCAAGUUCUGGGAAAUGGCUUUUACGUUCACCGGUCUCAAGCUGCAGGGAUCACUAGGUCGAUUUGGCAAAACAAUCACUACUGAUAUAGAAGGCUACAUGGAGCUCCCAGAUGGGAAGGUGCUCUCAGGGUCAGAAUGGGGCAACAUGCUGCUUUGGGAAGGUGGUCUGAUCAAAGUGGAGCUCUGUCGAGGGACAAGCAAGUCAUGUCACAAUGGUCCCAUUAACCAGAUAAUGCUGUAUGAGGGUGAAGUUAUCACUGUUGGGUCAGAUGGAUAUGUUAGGAUAUGGGAUUUUGAGACAAUAGACACUGCUGAUGUAAUAGAUGAGACUGGAUUGUUGGAGAUUGAGCCUAUUAAUGAACUUCAAGUAGACAAGAAUGUGAAUCUCUUCUCUAUGAUAAAAAUGAAUGAAACUGGAAAUAACUUUUGGUUGGCUCAGGAUGCCAAUGGAGCCAUAUGGAAGCUUGACCUUAGUUUUUCAAAUAUUACCCAGGACCCAGAAUGCCUCUUCUCCUUCCAUUCUGGAGCUAUUGAAGCCGUGGCUGUUUCUCCUCUCACUUAUCUCAUGGCCACAACUGCCUUGGACUGCUCUGUUCGAAUCUAUGAUUUUGCUAGCAAAACUCCUUUGGCCCAGAUGAAAUUCAAACAAGGAGGUACUGCCCUUGUUUGGGUACCCCGAAUGCCUGAAAGUACUUUACUAAUUAUCUGUGAAAAUGGCUAUAUUCUUGAAGCUCCACUUCCAACCAUAAAGCAAGAAGAGGAUGAUCAUGAUGUAGUCUCCUAUGAAAUCAAAGACAUGUGCAUAAAAUGUUUCCAUUUUUCAAGUGUCAAAUCUAAGAUUCUGAGAUUAAUAGAAAUUGAAAAGAGGGAGAGACAAAGGGAGUUGAAGGAGAAAAUAAGGGAAGAAAGGAGGAACAAGCUAGCAGCAGAGAUGGGAGAAGAUGGAGAAAAAGAAUUUCAGGAGGAGGAAGAGGAGAAAGAGGAGGAGGAGGAGGAAGAAGAGCCAUUACCUGAAAUAUUUAUUCCGUCAACCCCCUCUCCCAUCCUCUGUGGAUUUUACUCAGAGCCAGGGAAGUUCUGGGUUUCUUUGCAUUAACAAAGUUAUGAUGUUUUGUGGAAUGAAAAAUGGAGCAAUUCGAGUCUAUGUCCUAAAUCAAAAUGAUCCUUCAUUGACCAGUUUGGUGGACUACUGGCACUUCAAUAUGCAUGACAAUAAUUAUGGAUGUAUUAAAAGUAUUGCUAAUAGCUUUGAUGAUCGUUUCUUGGUGACUGCUGGAGCAGAUGGCAAUAUCUUUGUUUUCAACAUUUUUUCUGAAUUUAUGCUAAGGAAAGACAUGAAGGCCAAAGUUCCAUCUCCCAGGUUUGGAAUUGAAACAGAGCCAAUUCCAGAAGACAUUGAAGAUCCCAAAGCCUACAGUAUCGAGAAUGCUAGGAGAAAAAGAGAACAUGACAAGUUAAUGAAAGAAGUGGGAGAAAUAAAGGCACGGAAGAGAGAGCAAAUCAAAGCUUUGAGGAGUGAAUUUUGUAAUCUAUUAGAAAUGAAUGAAAAAUUACCAAAGCAUAUGCAGUUUAAACGAACAGAUUUUGAUGUAGAUUCCCAAAUCCGUGCUGAGAUGCACAGAAAAACAGCUUUCAAAAUUCAACAAGUGGAAAAGGAAUUAGCUUGGGAAAAAGAGAAACAUGAACUCGGCCUAAUGAAGCUAAAGAAUCGAUUUCGAGAUCCACUGGAAAGUGAUACUAUUGUGGUUCAUGCCAUACUGAGUGACCACAAGAUAUCCUCUUACAGGCUGGUGCAGCCCUCUAAGUACUCCAAAUUCAAACGAGCUAGUCAAUCAGAGAGAAAACCAAGCAAAUUGGACAGGUUUGAAAAAGAGGGACCUGGAAGAAAGGACAGCCAGAGAGAUGCAGGUGGGAGUGUUACCAUACAAGAAGAAUCAAUAAUAGAAAAAGGGAAGAAAUUUCGGCCUAAAACCCUAAGUGAAAUCAUCGUGGAAAAUCAAAUUGAGAAAACGAGAAAACUUAUAUUAAAAGCUGAAAGGGCACAACUAAAGAUUCAACAGCGAAAAAAAGAAUGGGAGGAACUGUCCAUGGAAAUAAAAGGCACAUGAACAAGUGCAUUCUCUCUCUUAGAGACCUUAAAGUGGCUGUUGUUGAGGAAAUACAGUGCCUGGUACAAGAACUGAAGAACAUUCAGUCGACUCUUCACAUAUCCAAGCACAUACCCAUUCCCAAAAUUCCUCAGAUACACCCAGAAGAAGUUCCAGAAAAGAGAUUUCAGUAUGAUGAAGAAACUCUCCUAAAUUUUAAGCAACAGCAAAUGAAAAGUAAAGAUGAAAAGUCCCCCGGAGUGGAACAGACAGGGUCUGGAGGCCCAGUUGGAGGAUUCCUCAAACUCUCUUCUAGAAAGGAUGGGGAUUUGACAACCCGUGAUUCAAUAUCUAGAUCAUCAAAGGCAUCAACAUUCAGCCUAGAUAUACCAAAGUGUUUGGAAUUUGAAAAAGCAGAGCCAACGGAUGUGGAGCUGGAAAUUAUGAAGAGAGACGAGAUUAAACACGUGUACAUGCAACAGUAUUUGGUCAACAGGAUCAAAGAACUGGUUGUCACUUUCGAUGCAGAACUCCGUCUCCUUAGACAUCAGAAACUAAAACUAGAUACUCAGAUGAAAUUAUCUGACCUGCACCAUGUCACCUUAUUUCAAGAAAUACUUCUCCUGAAGAAUUUUGAAAAACAGGAGAACAUACUUCAAGAACGUGUUAAUUCCUUAGACAAAGAGGAACAGUACAUGCAAUGGAAAAUAAAUGAAACUCUUAAAGAGAUGGAAGAGAAAAAGAAUGAAAUCACCAAACUCCAGGAGCAAGAAAAGGCACUCUAUGCUGGUUUUCAAGCAGCCAUUGGAGAAAACAAUAAAUUUGCAAACUUCCUCAUGAAGGUCCUAAAGAAGAAGAUUAAACGGGUAAAGAAAAAAGAAGUUGAAGGAGAUGCUGAUGAAGAUGAGGAGAGUGAGGAAUCAAGUGAAGAAGAAUCUAGCUUGGAGAGUGAUGAAGAUGAGUCUGAAUCAGAAGAUGAGGUUUUUGAUGAUUCUAUUUGCCCAACAAAUUGUGAUGUGGCUCUUUUUGAGCUGGCCCUUCACCUUCGAGAGAAAAGGCUGGACAUUGAGGAGGCUUUAGUUGAAGAAAAGAAAAUUGUUGAUAACCUCAAAAAGGAAUAUGAUACAUUGUCAAAAAAAGUGAAAAUUGUGGCAACUAAUCUGAAUGCAGCAGAGGAGGCCCUGGAGGCUUAUCAGCGAGAGAAGCAGCAGCGGCUGAAUGAACUGCUAGUUGUGAUUCCGCUCAAGCUCCACCAGAUAGAGUAUGUGGUAUUUGGAGAAAUACCUAGCGAUCUUUCUGGUACUUUGGUCUUCUCUAACCAUGCCUUGAGACGGCUGCAAGAACGAAUCCAUGAGCUCCAGGAGGAAAAUUCCAAGCAGCAAAAACUUAACAAAGAAUGGAGAGAGAGACGUAAACAGCUCAUCCGAGAAAAGAGAGAAAUGACAAAAACCAUACACAAAAUGGAGGAAACAGUCCGGCAGCUCAUGAUCAGCAAGUUUGGCCGUGUGGUAAAUCUAGAAGCCCUUCAAACGCUUUCUGUUAAUACAACACUUGAAGAACUGAAGAUCAGAAAACUUCGAAAGGAGCUAGCAAAUGCGAAAGAGAUGAAGAUGUGGGAGGAAAAGAUUGCUCAAAUGCGAUGGGAACUGAUGAUGAAGACAAAAGAACACACCAGAAAGCUUUAUCAGAUGAAUGAUUUGUGUAUUGAAAAGAAGAAACUUGAUUCUCGGUUGAAUACACUACAGAAUCAGCAGGGCAAUGCCUUCCAGGGCCCUCGGGAAGCAGAUGUUGUGGCAAGAGAGGAGGUCACUGAAUUGAUCCAACUCCAGGCGGAAAGGAUUUCGGCCUUAAAGGAGGAGAUUGCUCUUUUGCGUAGGAAAGGCAGUCUUAUCCUCCCACCCAUUCAGUCUCCACGAGAGAAAGAGAUACAGCCCGCAGACCUUUGAGUUUGCUAUUUUCUCAAACCCAUACAAGAUUUCUGACAUAACUCACUGGAAGUUCUGUCUCCUCAUCACCUCCAACAAUCUUAUUACUUUAAACUGAACUCGCCUGAAAGUGUAAAACCAGAUCCAGUCACGUUAAGUCACUUUAAGAAUCUCUCUACAAUUUGGUUAUCUUAGAACUGACUGCAGCACCCAACCUCUGUUAUGAAACUGAAUCAUUUUAGAUGUUUCGAACCUACUAGAUUGAAUAUGAAGUCUCGGAAGGCUGUGUUUCAUGAUUGCAGCAAAUCACCUGUAAUAUAUUUUGUUUUAGGAAAAUUUGAUUUGGGGGUAUCCUGAAUUUUUAGCCCUUGGCAAGAAAAACUAUCAUUCAGCAAUUCAUGAGAAAACUUUGUUUUCUUGAUCCUUAGAAAAUAAACUUAGAUGUUAUUAAGUGUUCUCUGAGAGGAUGCAGGAGAAAAGGACAUUUUGUCAGCUAUAUCUUAGAAUAGAAAUGCAAAUUUCAGUUUUGGCAUUGUUGACUUCAUAAAGCAGUGUUUUGAGGGCUCAGGAUUCAGGAAAUACAAACAGACAUGGCAGAGCAGUUUGCUUUGGGUUGGCAGAAAGCAGGAAAAUAACCAGCCUUCUUGGAUUGCCCACAGUUUUUGUAGACUCCUCAGUUCUGAGUGGAGCAGAGGGGCAUGCUUAAUAAAACAGUCAAUAAAGAGGCUUUUCUUUAAAGAUUUCUGCAACUCCGUCAGAAUUCUAAGUUUUCCCCAUAGUUUCUCAUGUCCCCUGCCAUUUUCUUUCAGGUUUUACUUGGGCCAUUUGCUGGUUUUGAUAUAGAUGAGGAGAUAAUGAAAUAGAUUUACUAGAGAUCAUCUUUAACAAUCACCUUUGAUUAUGCAUAACAUUUUAAACUAAUUGAAGAGUAUCCUUUUGGUUUGGGGGUAAGUGCUCAUUGAAGUUCAUGGCUAUAACCAUUGCAGGAUAAUCUCACUGACAUUUGGAAUCCUGUUAGUAACAGAGCAUAGCUCUUUAGAUUAAGAGCUCUGUAUUAACGAGCUACUCAUUGAGGCUGUUCCAGGAUAAGCUGGUCACUGAGAAGGGCGGGUGAAGAAAGGAACAUUGCAUAAAUGUAGAAGGGAACUCAGCAAUGCCAAGUCUUCCUCACCUGUGAUUAGCCUGCUAAUGUGCCCCCCAAAAUUACAGACAGGUCUUGCUUUCUUUGUACAUCAGCAUAUUCUUAGAGGUGGCCACUUGGCCUAUUGUCUUCCUAAGAUUCCUUCAUAUUCCUAUUUAAGAGGUCAGAAUACCUUAUUGUUUGCACUUGUCACCAUUAAUUUCUGAUGUAGUCACUUCUCUACUGGAGAGCACCCACUUUUUUUUUUAAAUCACUUUCUGUGUUGUAUAUCCUAAGCCAUGUGUGCCUUUCAAGUAUUUUUAAAAAUAUGCUAGUCAUAGCCCUGAGUGUCUUAUUUAUUGCGGUAAAAAAUUACCCCCAAACUUAGCUUGAAACAACAAACUUGUGAUCUCACCCAGGAGUGAGAGGGUUUCUGAGGUCCAGGAAUCUGGGGACAGCUUGGCCGGGUGUUCUGGCUCAGGGUCUUUCGUGGAGUUGCAGUCACACUAGGAGCUGGGGCUGCAGCCAUCUGAAGCUUGGCUGGAGCUGGAGGGGCUAUUAGCAAAUUCACUCCCUUGGCCAUUAGGCAGGGCUUCAGUUCCUCGCCAUGUGGGCCUCUCCAUAGGGCCGCUUGGGAUAUGACUUCUCCCAGAGCAAGUGAUCCAAGAGUGAGGGAGACAGCAAGAGAGAAUGAUGUAUACAAGAGCCACAGUCUUUUACAGCCCAAGCUCAGAAGUGACAUAGCGUCACUAUUGUCAUAUGGGUCACAGGCUGACCCUGUGUGAUGUGGGAGGGGACUGAACAGGGUGUGAAUGCCAGGUGGGGGUCACCGGGGCCUUCGUGGGAGCUGGCAGCCACAAGAAGCAGCUGCCUGGAGAGAGUGGCUGGUCUCUGAGAAAGGUCUUGAGGCGAUACCAUCCCCUUGGUAAUUGUAGAGAAUCAGGAGAAGUUACGUUAUCUUCCUGGGCCUCAUUUUAUUAUCUGACAAAUGAAGGAUUGGUAGAAUGGGUUCCUUCCCAUUCUGAGAUUCUGAUUCUGAUUGCAGCAAGAAUGGACCUACAGUCUACAGAAGAGCCACAUCAGGACUUGCUGUGCAUUUCAACUGAGAGGAAAGCUAAUCGGGAUAAUUAUUCCCAAACUGAGCUGGACUAAAUCACUAGUUAAUUCUACAAUAUUCAGGGCUUCAUUCCGCAUGUUUGGGAAUUGACGACAGUUAACACUGAAUUACUUUAUUUUGAAUUGGACAAAAUAUGUUGAUAGCUUUAGGUUCAUUUCAACUUGAUUCCAGGCUUAGUCUUAAAUCUGUAGUUAAGUUAGAGCAUCUGAGUCUUUGGGAAGUUAAGCUUCAAACACAAGUAGACCAGCAGGGUGUGGCAUGGGCAGGGUGGCUGGGAAGCUAUCCUGCUCCUGGCACACUUCCCUGCCUUCUGCUGUGCUCCCAGAGGAGCAGCCUCACCUCUGAGGGUAAGGCCAAAAAUCAGCCUACACUGAGUUACUUGUGGGUCAAUUGUUCAUAUAACUUGGCUCUUCUGAACUGUCAUCCAUAGUAUCACCGAUGAUCAAUCUCAGCAUUGGAAGAAAAAGAAACCACAGAGUCCAGCCCCUCUGUCACAACUUCAGAGUAAAGGAGUUGCUCAUGCCUGCCAGCCAGCCUGUCCCACCACAGCGGGCUCCCCAGCUUAGGGAGGUCUGUGAGCCAUGUGCUAAAUUUCUCUUUAGAGCUAAAUCCAUUGAGUGCUAUGAUUCCAGUGCUGUGCAGAAAGCAGAUGUUUCACCUAUCACUUCAGAAAAGUUCACCAGACUUCAUUUUGACAGCUACCUUAGAUCAUCAAGGAGAAAAAGGAAAAAAUGUAAAAACCAGUGGGGCUAGAAGGUGAGUUACAGCUCAGAUUGGGGGGCCUCUGGAUAGCAAAGCAAUGACUGAGAGCGUCAGCCCUACCCACCCCAGAAGUGAGCUCUGGGCCGUGAUGCCAGGUUGUCUGAAAUCACAGUAUCUUAUUUUUUCUCUUCUCUUCCCUGCUCUGCUUCUCAUUUCCUAACAUUUACCUGUUCCUUACAGUCCUUCCUUUUAAAUAAUAUUUUUAAAAUACUGCUUUCCUGAAAACCAUGCUGCACUUCCACAUGAAGUUCUCUCUGACGUUGAGCUUGAUGGAAAAAGGAUGCAGAAGUCAGGAAUAGCAGGUGCUAUACUUAUUUUGGCCAGCAGAGGAUGCACUUGCCCUAAACAGUCAGAGUGACUCUUCCCUAGGACCCUGUUUAUCAAAUUCUUCAUGUUUAAAAGCCAGGGUCUGGCCCCCCACUUAACGAGAUUGUCUCAAGUGGCAUUUCAUCUGUAACUCAAUUUUACAGAAAUCUAGAAAAUACAGGCUCCCCCCACCCUCUCCAGCCCCAAAACACAAAGCGUAGUAAGGCUUUCAUUGCAAGCAUCAGUCUCCAUCUAAUUCCACUUCCACAUAUAAAGAUUUUAAAAUUUCAAUUAAAAAAGAAUCUAUGGUUGAUCCUUUGGUUGGACAACAGUAAGUAAAUGUUGAUUUUAAACUAGUGAGUCAACUACUCUGGCAAUGUUGGUGUAUCUUUGGAAAGAAGGGAAGUGAAUUUAUUAUGCACCAUAUGUCCAUGUGUGGCACAGCACUUAGCUAAACAGUAUUUUGGAGAAAAUAUUUGGUCUUCAACACACACCUAUAUAAAAAAGAUUAGUUCUAUUUCUUCAAUAUGACCUAAACUUCAUCUCAAGUCCAGUUGGUAAGAGAACUAUGAACCUGUUUUUCCUGGUCUGUUGUACAACGGUUCCCUUGUGGACUAAACGGUAAUGUGUUCUGCAUGAAUCCAAGCACAACUGACAUUCACUGUUUUAAAAAACAAAAAAGAGAAACAUUUACUACCUUUUUCAGAUCUCAUUUCUGAUGGACCUGAAAAUAUUGUAAGUGGGUAUUUUCUUCAAAUACUCAGAGACUGAAUUCUAACAUGUAAAGAAAAUGCUGACUCACACAUGACUCAGUUUGAAGGUUACAGGGAAGACUAAACAUUUAUUUAGAAGUUACAGUGUUUGUUUUUACAGAGAUAUGUUGCCACGGAUUAUUGAUUCUGGAAGGUUUUUUAAUGCUCAUAGUGCUGUACACAUCUUGGUCUGUUCUCAUGGGCAUCUUAGGAAAAUGUUUCCCGUAGCACCGGAUCCAGCCAUCUGUGUGGGUGUCUCCAGGCUGUGAUACCGUGCCCCUUGCUGUUCCCUCAUGCUCGUGAUGAACCAUGUGCCUGGGAUCCUUCCUCUUGCCAGCUUAUCUGUGGGCCUCCUGCAGCCUCGCCUGCCACUGCAGAGGCCCCAGGUUAGGAGUCUGUCCCGCGCCAGCCUGUGCGGUGCUUUCCUGGGUGACUCCUGUUAGGUGGCAGCUUCUUUAUUUUCCCUCUCCAACCUCAACGGGUAGGACUCCUUAUGUCUCUCCAGAAUUAUAAAACAUAUACAUUUAUUUACAAGUGCAUAAAUAUAUAAAUAUGGCUAUAAUAGAAAAAUAAAUACCAAUUUUCUCUGUC
rnacentral:lncRNA from 1 species